AUUUUUAAUAGAAAUAAGUAAAACAGGGCCGGAUUAAUCCUCAACGGGGCCCUAGGCAACCAUCAAUUUGGGGGC